ACAGCAAUCAAGCACGGCUUGUGUUGAGCUUUUUUAACAAAUGUUCCCUUUUUGCGAACAAGCUUGAAAUACAAUGGCGAUGCCGAUUUUUUAGUGCCCAAGCGUUAUAGGGCUUUGUCACACGCUUUGGUGGCCCAAGUCGGCUCUGCCUAGCCUUUCUAUUUGACCAG
rnacentral:misc_RNA from 1 species